rnacentral:rRNA from 1 species
ACGGGUGAGUAACGCGUGGGAAUCUACCCAUCUCUACGGAAUAACGCAUGGAAACGUGUGCUAAUACCGUAUACGUCCUUCGGGAGAAAGAUUUAUCGGAGAUGGAUGAGCCCGCGUUGGAUUAGCUAGUUGGUGGGGUAAAGGCCUACCAAGGCGACGAUCCAUAGCUGGUCUGAGAGGAUGAUCAGCCACACUGGGACUGGGACACGGCCCAGACUCCUACGGGAGGCAGCAGUGGGGAAUAUUGGACAAUGGGCGCAAGCCUGAUCCAGCCAUGCCGCGUGAGUGAUGAAGGCCCUAGGGUUGUAAAGCUCUUUCACCGGUGAAGAUAAUGACGGUAACCGGAGAAGAAGCCCCGGCUAACUUCGUGCCAGCAGCCGCGGUAAUACGAAGGGGGCUAGCGUUGUUCGGAUUUACUGGGCGUAAAGCGCACGUAGGCGGACUAUUAAGUCAGGGGUGAAAUCCCGGGGCUCAACCCCGGAACUGCCUUUGAUACUGGUAGUCUUGAGUUCGAGAGAGGUGAGUGGAAUUCCGAGUGUAGAGGUGAAAUUCGUAGA